ensembl:miRNA mir-8210 ncRNA
UGCCUUCUUUCCUUGUGUCGCCGACAAAUCGCCACAAUCCGUCGACGAAAAAAAGAAAGAAAGAAA